GAUGAACGCUGGCGGUAUGCCUAACACAUGCAAGUCGAACGGAAGUUUUUUAAACUUUAGUGGCGGACGGGUGAGUAACGCGUGAGAAUUUGCCUUUAGGAGGGGAACAACAGUUAGAAAUGAUUGCUAAUGCCCCAUAUGCUUUAUAAAGUGAAAUGGAGUUUAUCCGCCUGAAGAGAAGCUCGCGUCUGAUUAGCUAGUUGGUAAGGUAAUGGCUUACCAAGGCGACGAUCAGCAACUGGUUUGAGAGGAUGAUCAGUCACACUGGAACUGAGACACGGUCCAGACUCCUACGGGAGGCAGCAGUGGGGAAUUUUCUGCAAUGGGCGAAAGCCUGACAGAGCAAUACCGCGUGAGGGAUGAAGGCUCGUGGGUCGUAAACCUCUUUUUUCAAGGAGGAAUCAAUGACGUGUACUUGAAGAAUAAGCAUCAGCUAACUCCGUGCCAGCAGCCGCGGUAAGACGGAGGAUGCAAGUGUUAUCCGGAAUCACUGGGCGUAAAGCGUCUGUAGGUGGUUUAAUAAGUCUAUUGUUAAAUCUUGAGGCUUAACUUCAAAUCAGCAAUGGAAACUAUUAGACUUGAGUAUAGUAGAGGUAAAAG
rnacentral:rRNA from 1 species